GCUUGACCUAAGGCGCGAAUGGGUACGCCCGAAUCGGAUCGCUGUUUUGGGGGAGAUGGAGACCCGGGUAACUGUGAGUCAAACACGGCUUUUUCAAGUAUUUAUCAUAAGGGAAACUUUGUUGUUUCUGAGUGCUCUCCGACGGAGACGGAGGCUAAGCUCUCAACUUGAAAAAGCGAUCAUCGCCGGUGCAUUCGUUGCUGUGUUAAGCCUCUGAUCUUCUCCGAUACCAGUCGUUUUCACGACCUCGAAUUUCGCAGACUUUCUGCUAAGUGUCACGGACCCCCAAAAUGGGACUCAAGCAAGGGCCGUGUGGCACUCGUUGAGAGCUCUACCUCGACAAGUCAGCCAACUCUCACACGUUCAAGCCUGCAAGCACGAGCACCAGGAAAUGGGUCUAUGGACACUACUGGAGGGCUGCCUGCUUCUUGCAAAUGCAUUUGCAAUAUUAAAUGAGGACCGCUUUCUUGGGCCUAGAGGGUGGAGCUUCUCAGAAUUCUCAGGGGGCAGGACAACAUCAAAAUCAUUCAAGGGACAGUUAAUGGGUAUCAUUUAUGCAACUCAGUACAUGAGAGUUCCUCUUAUACUUCUAAACACCAUCUGCAUCGUCAUAAAGUUGGUGUUUGGGUGAUUUUAUGUGGGGUAUCUCUCUCUCUCUCUCUCUCUCUCUCAGGUGCUGUCCUGCAUGCAGACAUGCAUGAAAGUGCUAGUUUUUUUUUCCCACCUAUGUUUUUGACUGCCCUUGUCUUCCUUUUCUUUUCAGUUGGUAAAAAAAUUCCUGUUGCAUGUGUCUGGUUGAGUUAAUGAUUCAGUUUUCCCCAGCUCCGGUUAGUUCAGUGGAUAUGUGGUUUCACACAAAAUUCACCAAAUGGUUGGAGUCUGCAAAAAAGAAGGUUAUUUUGAGGGUGGAAGAGUGUGGUUCUCAAUAUUAAGAAACUCUUGUUGUGUCAUUUAGUUUUGUAAGAUUGUAGUUUUAGCUGUGCAGCCUGUAGUGAUUUAUUUAGUGGGGAUUGGCAAUGUUUUGAAAUUGGUCCAGUUCGAUAUUGGGCUUUGUAUUGUAGUUUUAGCUGUGCAGCCUGUAGUGAUUUAUUUAGUGGGAAUUUGCAAUGUUUUGAAUUUGGUCCAGUUUGAUCUUGGGCUUUGUAUUGUAGUUUUAGCUGUGCAGCCUGUAGUGAUUUAUUUAGUGGGGAUUGGCAAUGUUGUGAAUUUGGUCCAGUUUGAUCUUGGGCUUUGUAUUGUUGAGACAUGAGAUAAUUUGUCAAUGUGCUUUCUAAAAGUUAUAAUUAAUAUAUUUUUUCUGCAUUUUGAACUCAAAAGACAUGGAUUUUUUUUUAUUUUUAGAUUUUGGUAUGAAAGUUGAUUUAUUGGAUUUUUAUUAUGUGUUUAACUGUGACACUUCAAUGCAGGCAACUUUAUAUUCCUUGAUGCAUCUCGAAAAUACAUCUGUCCUCCAUGUAAAGCAUGGGAAGAUUGGAAUAUAUCUUCUUGUUUGUUGAAGCAUAGUCAAUUUGUUCAUUAUAAAAUGAAUCUGAGGCUACGGCCAUUUGUUUCUUUUCUAAUAUGAAACUUGAUAUAUUGGCUUUUUUAUAUUGUAUAUUUAGCUUUAGCAUAUAAAUAUUCAAGACUUUACAUUCCUUGAUUCUGAUGCAUCAUGUUUUGCACUUUGAACUUGAUGUAAUUAGGGUAUAUAUAUGUGUAUGUAUGUAUGUAUGUAUGUAUGUACGUAUUUCCUCUUGAUCAAUGUCAUGCCCUAGUUUGAGGGUUUUGUCAUGCUACUGCCGGAAGUAGACUGUCAUGCACAAUCCCGUGAUGGAUUGUGAUAAAUGCAUUUUCAUAUGGCUGACAUAAUUUGUGAUCUUGAAUUGAUCAGGGAAUGUGUAUUUCCUCUUGAUAAAUGUGCCACGACAUGUCGAUCAUGUCAUACUCUCAAAAGGAAUAUUGAAUAUGGGAAUUGGGCUAGUGUAGCAAAGGCUGGGCAUCUAAUGUAACAAAGAAGGGAAAAAAAUGUGUGCUUUUAAAAUCAUUACUAAGGGCGCACUAUAACAUGGAUCCUUAUUGAAUUGAGUAGAUGGAUUCACGAGUCAAAUUCAAAUAGUUGGAUAAGUAUUGGAAAAUUCUCUGCUAUACACCAUGGGUUUUUGUAUGUUGCAGGUGGUUGAAUUUUGAAAUCAACAGGGGCUAGCAAUGGAUGUUAACUGCUUAGUUACUAUCCAGGUCUUUAUUAUCAUUAUUAUUAUUUUUUAAAUGUAUAGUCCCUUAAUUUAAAAUAAUUUUUGGUAAUAUUUGUGGAUCUGCUUCAAAUAGUUGGACAACAGUAAAGUAGUAAUUGUUUAAACAUAAAUGUGAUAUUUUGUUACACUUUUGGCAAUGUUAGCUUGUCAUGAGAGCCUGAGAGGUUUCGUGAGGAACUCAAGUGGGAUGCUGUUUUUGGAGUCCUUUUAGGGCACAUAAUGCAUAUUAAAGCAUACAUGUUUAGCCUCCAUUAAAUUUAAUUAGAUGACUUGUAAUAAUAUGUGCAUCACUAAAUUUUUUGGUCUACAGAGGAUAUAUUAGGUUACAAUUUGAGUAUGGUCGUAUGGAGGUCUCAAAUUUUAAUCUUGGGAAGAGUGGGAAAAAAAGAAAUUUUUUUUUUAAAAUUUAUUUUUGUGUUUUUUCUCGAAUUUCCCUUUUCCAUUUUUUUCAACACAACCCUCUCUACACCACAGAAAAAGAGGAAAAAAUUAUAUCCACUACUUCAAAUGUAGUUCUGAAUUCAUUUUAAGAAACACUGAGCAUUUUAACUAGUAAUAGGAGAGAGGGAGAACUAAAAAUAAGCUGGCUAGGAGUCUUUAUUGAGAGAUUGAAGUCCGAAUGGAAGGAUGUCAUUUAACAAAAAGUCAGGCAUCCAUCACAAAUCAGCAAAGAGGCUGUAACUUUUUGAAUCCACAACUAUAAGCCUUAAGGCUGCAAUUGCUGCUGCUACAGAGAGGAGAGCAAAGAAGCCAAUGUUGAACCAGUGCCAGAGCCGCUGCACGUAAGUGAGUUUAUUCUGUUUUGCCAUCAGGUACAUGUGGUUGCCAAGGAUAAAUGUGAGAGGGAAUGUGCUGAUUGCUCCCCCCAGGCUCAUGAAGUCUCCCAAAAAUGGAAGAGCAGCUGCCACCAAUGUGGUUGUCGCAAGGGUGAUUAAGCUUCAUAGCUUAGCUUAGAGGAACAACAAUGAUCAAUAAUGCUGUAGAAAAUUAAAUUUUGAAAGCAUUGAACUAAUGGUAAAGAAUUGAAGUAAUGAAUUAAGGAAAGUUACGUGCAAAGCAAUGGCGGAUUGAAGGAAUGCAGCAAGAUUGGCAGUUGUCUUAAUCCACAUGGGACCGGAGACGCUGCUGAGCAAAUAGGAAGAGGACGAUGACCCAAAAGCCCAAUACCCUACAAAUGUCACGGCAUACAUUGGCAAAACUCCUCCUGUGAACUGAAGGUGUAGAGCUUUCAGCAUGUUCUCUACCACUGGCUGCUUCACUGUCGCCUGAUUGAUGCCAAAAGCCACAUCUGAGGAUGGAAGAUUGAAGGGAAAACUAGAAAAUGAACUAAUAAAACAAACCCCCCCUCCCUCCCUUUUUCUAAAUCUGGAACACCCAGUCAAGCAAUUUCUUGCUGCAGGCGUGUACUAGAACACAAAUUUGAUAUUAUGAAAAAAUAAAACUUAAAAUGCCUCAAGUGUUCGUUUCAGGAGUCAUGGGCAUAUAUACCAAUGGCUGCCCAGGCCAUUCUGGCCCAUGCUUUGCUGUUGGAGGGGCUAUAGAUUUAACUGCUGGUUUGGUAUUUGCAAUAAUGGAAUGGAAUGGAAUGGGAUGUAAUAUAUAAUCUGUCAUCAUAAUCUUAUGUGUAUCAUUUAACUUUUCAUUUC